UACGUAGGGGGCGAGCGUUGUCCGGAUUUAUUGGGCGUAAAGAGCUCGUAGGCGGACCUGCAAGUCGGGGGUGAAAGCCCGAGGCUCAACCUCGGAACUGCCUUCGAUACUGCGGGUCUCGAGUCCGGGAGAGGUGAGUGGAAUUCCUAGUGUAGAGGUGAAAUUCGUAGAUAUUAGGAAGAACACCAGUGGCGAAGGCGGCUCACUGGCCCGGUACUGACGCUGAGGCGCGAAAGCGUGGGGAGCAAACAGG
rnacentral:rRNA from 1 species